GUACCGUGUCAUUGGGGAGUGGGUUGGAAAGAGGGAAAACCUGGUGCCAUGGAGGCUGAAGAAGAAAAAAAUAAAGGGAGAUUGCGCCCAAGACUAGUGAGAUCCUAAGGGCAUGUCUUGCCGAGAAAGGAACCCAUGGUUCCCAGAUUUCAAAAAGGGCAGAAUUGAGGGAGGGGCUCGGAUCGCUGGGCGAAAGAAGUUAGUUAAACUUGCGGUAUUUUUUUUUAAUAAAGAGGGAAGUCUAUCAUAACCCCAGGACUGUGGACCGAGGGGAGGGAGUGGGGUUCAGGGGCUUUUAGAGCCCCGCAAUCCGCUGGUCGCGUCACCCACUCGUUGCUAUGGCGACAGAAGGCAUUGGCUGUCUCUCUCCAUGGCAACGGGAGGGAAAAGUUUCAGGAGAAAUGGUGGUGGGGGGGGAGACGACACUUCACCGGGUCAUCCUUUUUCAAGUCCGUUCCCCUCCCUCGGCAUCGAAUCGCACCUCAUUUCCCAUUAUCUUCGGGAAGCUUCACCAUAAAGAUUGAAAUGGACCGAAAAUAUAACCGUAGAACUUGAGGGUCCACAUCCUGCUCAGGCAUCCUGGAAGUGCUGCUUUCUCAAUGGCUGGCUAUUGUGGCCCUGUCUGAGAUUAUAUGGACGUGGUUGUGGUUGAGUGCAUGGACACACCUGCUGUUUCUAUGAGGCCCAAAACAAAAGCCAGUGUUGUCCGACAGAGUAAGAUCUGACACUUCAAAGCAUACUCUCCCUCCUUGUUUCAUCCUCCAAUGUCAAGCUUCCUUCGGCAGGUGAAAUUGGGAAGUGACUCUGCCUGCUAAUGAAGAUGACGUUCCUCUAAUGAGAACAGGACAUGGUGCUGGGAGCCCACUAUGGAUGAAUAAUUACAUCCUAAUUAAAUGCCGCCUUUUGUUUCCUACUCAUUUGCUCAGCAUUAAAUGUGAAUGAAGUUUCCUGUGCGCAAGACUUUCAGGCUCUGACAAAUUCCCAUGAAGUUGCCAGGGAGCUAUAUCUCCCACAGUGCUAGUUACACCAUUAGUUUUUAUCAGGAUUUAUAUAUAAUCUUUUAAAGUGCAAAAAACAAAUUCCUGUUAGCUCCUGAUUAUCUUCAUUAUCUGAAUUACAGUUUAUUCAGGGCAAGCCUUGUUUUCAAGCUCUGUUGACAUUAUCACCACCUCUGAUUAAAUAAAUUCUUU